AUUGAACGCUGGCGGCAGGCUUAACACAUGCAAGUCGAGCGGAGAUGAGGUGCUUGCACCUUAUCUUAGCGGCGGACGGGUGAGUAAUGCUUAGGAAUCUGCCUUGUAGUGGGGGAUAACCUGGGGAAACUCGGGCUAAUACCGCAUAAUCUCUACGGAGCAAAGCGGGGGACCGAAAGGCCUCGCGCUAUAAGAUGAGCCUAUAUUGGAUUAGCCAGUUGGUGGGGUAAAGGCCUACCAAGGCGACGAUCCAUAGCUGGUCUGAGAGGAUGAUCAGCCACACUGGGACUGAGACACGGCCCAGACUCCUACGGGAGGCAGCAGUGGGGAAUAUUGGACAAUGGGGGAAACCCUGAUCCAGCAAUACCGUGUGUGUGAAGAAGGCCUUAGGGUUGUAAAGCACUUUUAGUGGGAAAGAAAAGCUUGAAACUAAUACUUUCGAGCCGUGACGUUACCCACAGAAAAAGCACUGGCUAACUCUGUGCCAGCAGCCGCCGUAAAAC
rnacentral:rRNA from 1 species